GGGGAAUUUUGGACAAUGGGGGCAACCCUGAUCCAGCCAUGCCGCGUGAGUGAAGAAGGCCUUCGGGUUGUAAAGCUCUUUCGGACGGAAAGAAAUCGCCGCCUCUAACAUAGGCGGUGGAUGACGGUACCGUAAGAAGAAGCACCGGCUAACUACGUGCCAGCAGCCGCGGUAAUACGUAGGGUGCGAGCGUUAAUCGGAAUUACUGGGCGUAAAGCGUGCGCAGGCGGUUUGGUAAGACAGGUGUGAAAUCCCCGGGCUUAACCUGGGAACUGCAUUCAAAAAUGACUGGAUAGAGUAUGGUAGGGGGUGGUGGAAUUUCCUGUGUAGCGGUGAAAUGCGUAGAUAUAGGAAGGAACACCAGUGGCGAAGGCGACCACCUGGACUGAUACUGACACUGAGGUGCGAAAGCGUGGGAGCAAACA
rnacentral:rRNA from 1 species